UACAGAGGGGGCAAGCGUUGUUCGGAAUUACUGGGCGUAAAGGGCGUGUAGGCGGUCUGUUAAGUCAUGUGUGAAAUCCCUCGGCUCAACCGGGGAACGACGCAUGAAACUGACAAGCUAGAGUACCAAAGAGGGGGGUGGAAUUCCCGGGUGUAGCGGUGAAAUGCGUAGAUAUCGGGAGGAACACCGGUGGCGAAGGCGGCCCCCUGGUUGGAGUACUGA
rnacentral:rRNA from 1 species